rnacentral:rRNA from 1 species
AUUGAACGCUGGCGGCAUGCUUUACACAUGCAAGUCGAACGGCAGCGGGGGCUUAGGCCUGCCGGCGAGUGGCGAACGGGUGAGUAAUGCAUCGGAACGUACCCAGUUGUGGGGGAUAACGUACCGAAAGGUACGCUAAUACCGCAUACGCCCUGAGGGGGAAAGCGGGGGACUUUGGUGGCCACACCGGGCCUCGCGCGCUUGGAGCGGCCGAUGGCUGAUUAGCUAGUUGGUGAGGUAAAGGCUCACCAAGGCGACGAUCAGUAGCUGGUCUGAGAGGAUGAUCAGCCACACUGGGACUGAGACACGGCCCAGACUCCUACGGGAGGCAGCAGUGGGGAAUUUUGGACAAUGGGGGCAACCCUGAUCCAGUCAUGCCGCGUGAGUGAAGAAGGCCUUCGGGUUGUAAAGCUCUUUCGGACGGGAAGAAAUCGCACGCUCUAACAUAGUGUGUGGAUGACGGUACCGUAAUAAGAAGCACCGGCUAACUACGUGCCAGCAGCCGCCGUAA